rnacentral:rRNA from 1 species
CUACGGGAUGCUGCAGGCGAGAAAACUUUGCAAUGUGCGAAAGCACGACAAGGUUAAUCCGAGUGGUUUCUGCUAAAGGAACCUUUUGACAGUCCUAGAAACACUGUUGAAUAAGGGGUGGGCAAGUUCUGGUGUCAGCCGCCGCGGUAAAACCAGCACCUCAAGUGGUCAGGAUGAUUAGUGGGCCUAAAGCAUCCGUAGCCGGCUCUGUAAGUUUUCGGUUAAAUCUGUACGCUCAACGUACAGGCUGCCGGGAAUACUGCAGAGCUAGGGAGUGGGAGAGGUAGACGGUACUCGGUAGGAAGGGGUAAAAUCCUUUGAUCUAUUGAUGACCACCUGUGGCGAAGGCGGUCUACCAGAACACGUCCGACGGUGAGGGAUGAAAGCUGGGGGAGCAAACCGGAUUAGAUACCCUUGUAGUC